CCUACGGGGGGCUGCAGUGGGGAAUAUUGGACAAUGGGGGGAACCCUGAUCCAGCCAUGCCGCGUGUGUGAAGAAGGCCCUCGGGGUGUAAAGCACUUUCAGUGAGGAAGAACGCCUGGUGGUUAAUACCCAUCAGGAAAGACAUCACUCACAGAAGAAGCACCGGCUAACUCCGUGCCAGCAGCCGCGGUAAUACGGAGGGUGCGAGCGUUAAUCGGAAUUACUGGGCGUAAAGCGCGCGUAGGUGGCUUGAUAAGCCGGUUGUGAAAGCCCCGGGCUCAACCUGGGAACGGCAUCCGGAACUGUCAAGCUAGAGUGCAGGAGAGGAAGGUAGAAUUCCCGGUGUAGCGGUGAAAUGCGUAGAGAUCGGGAGGAAUACCAGUGGCGAAGGCGGCCUUCUGGACUGACACUGACACUGAGGUGCGAAAGCGUGGGUAGCAAACAGGAUUAGAUACCCCUGUAGUC
rnacentral:rRNA from 1 species